GAUGAACGCUAGCGGCAGGCUUAACACAUGCAAGUCGAGGGGUAUUGGUUUUCGGACCAAGAGACCGGCGCACGGGUGCGUAACGCGUAUGCAAUCUACCUUUUGCAGAGGGAUAGCCCCAGAGAAAUUUGGAUUAAUACCUCAUAGUAUAGUACUUUGGCAUCAAGGAACUAUUAAAGUCACAACGGCAAAAGAUGAGCAUGCGUCCCAUUAGCUAGUUGGUAAGGUAACGGCUUACCAAGGCUACGAUGGGUAGGGGUCCUGAGAGGGAGAUCCCCCACACUGGUACUGAGACACGGACCAGACUCCACGGGAGCAGCAGUGGAGGAAUAUUGGACAAUGGGCGCAAGCCUGAUCCAGCCAUGCCGCGUGCAGGGAUGACGGUCCUAUGGAUUGUAAACUG
rnacentral:rRNA from 1 species